GGGCUUGUGGUUUAGUACGUAAUAAUCUAAUGCAACAUUCACUGCAUAUAACUAACAAUUAUCAGGGGGUAUAAUGUUCGCUUCGCAUAACGACAUGUGUCUGCGAAAGGUCCUGGGUUCGAUUCCCAGCAAGUCCA